UGCCGCUUGGCUCAAUGGAAGUGCAGCCGGUCGAUAACCGGCAGGUUGUUGGUUCAUGGUCUUAGCCGGUAUCCCCUUGGGACGAUUCCGACAGCGGCGACCA
rnacentral:tRNA from 1 species